GACGAACGCUGGCGGCGUGCUUAACACAUGCAAGUCGAACGGAAAGGCCCUGCUUUUGUGGGGUGCUCGAGUGGCGAACGGGUGAGUAACACGUGAGUAACCUGCCCUUGACUUUGGGAUAACUUCAGGAAACUGGGGCUAAUACCGGAUAGUAGCUCCUGCUGCAUGGUGGGGGUUGGAAAGUUUCGGCGGUUGGGGAUGGACUCGCGGCUUAUCAGCUUGUUGGUGGGGUAGUGGCUUACCAAGGCUUUGACGGGUAGCCGGCCUGAGAGGGUGACCGGCCACAUUGGGACUGAGAUACGGCCCAGACUCCUACGGGAGGCAGCAGUGGGGAAUAUUGCACAAUGGGCGGAAGCAUGAUGCAGCAACGCCGCGUGCGGGAUGACGGCCUUCGGGUUGUAAACCGCUUUCGCCUGUGACGAAGCGAGAGUGACGGUAAUGGGUAAAGAAGCACCGGCUAACUACGUG
rnacentral:rRNA from 1 species